AGAGUUUGAUCAUGGCUCAGGACGAACGCUGGCGGCGUGCUUAAUACAUGCAAGUCGAACGAACCCGAGGCUUCGGCCUCAAUGGGUUAGUGGCGAACGGGUGAGUAACACGUGAGAAACCUACCCCAGAGAUCGGAAUAACCCGAGGAAACUCGAGCUAAUACCGAAUACCUUCCGGACACCGCAUGGUGAUCGGAAGAAAUGGUCAGCCGCUCUGGGAGGGUCUCGCGGCCUAUCAGCUUGUUGGUGAGGUAAUGGCUCACCAAGGCAUCGACGGGUAGCUGGUCUGAGAGGACGAUCAGCCACACUGGGACUGAGACACGGCCCAGACUUCUACGGAAGGCAGCAGUAGGGAAUCUUGCGCAAUGGGCGAAAGCCUGACGCAGCAACGCCGCGUGAGGGAAGACGGCUCUAGGGUUGUAAACCUCUUUCAGUAGGGACGAAAUUGACGGUACCUACAGAAGAAGCGCCGGCCAACUACGUGCCAGCAGCCGCGGUAACACGUAGGGCGCAAGCGUUGUCCGGAUUUAUUGGGCGUAAAGAGCUCGUAGGCGGUUUGGUAAGUCGGAUGUGAAAGCUCAGGGCUCAACUCUG
rnacentral:rRNA from 1 species